AGCGAACGCUGGCGGCAGGCUUAACACAUGCAAGUCGAACGGGCGUAGCAAUACGUCAGUGGCAGACGGGUGAGUAACGCGUGGGAACGUGCCUUUUGGUUCGGAACAACUGAGGGAAACUUCAGCUAAUACCGGAUAAGCCCUUACGGGGAAAGAUUUAUCGCCAAAAGAUCGGCCCGCGUCUGAUUAGCUAGUUGGUGAGGUAAUGGCUCACCAAGGCGACGAUCAGUAGCNGGUCUGAGAGGAUGAUCAGCCACACUGGGACUGAGACACGGCCCAGACUCCUACGGGAGGCAGCAGUGGGGAAUAUUCCGCAAUGGGCGAAAGCCUGACGGAGCGACGCCGCGUGGAGGAAGAAGCCUUUCGGGUGUAAACUCCUUUUCUUUGGGAUGAUAUGCAGCAGGUAAAUAGCCUGUUGCUAGGACAGUACCAAAGGAAUAAGCCUCGGCUAACUACGUGCCA
rnacentral:rRNA from 1 species